ensembl:lncRNA
GGGGAGGAAGAAAGAUCUCUGGAUCUUAAGCACAGGAGGAGUUGAUCUUGACGCUCGGAUUUCAGCUUGUCUAAGAAACGGGGAUACUGAGCCUCCUUGAAAUCCACCUGAAAUGAAUUAGCCUGAAGUAAAAGUAGGUGUUUAUCUCAAGUCAUUGCCUCAAAUAGCUGACUACCUGUUGGAAGAAGGGUCUGAUCGAUGCAAACCAGAGCAGCCGUGCAUGAGCUGUUACACAGCGGUUAGUAUUGAUCAGAGCCAAGGGCUGCCGAUAGGAAUGUGGAGCGAACUGACAGGCAGAGAAGAGGGAAGGAGGAAACAGCCUUCGCUGGUGGCAGCUGUACAGAGGAAAGCCGAUAAAAAGUCAAUUCCACUUAACUGAAUGGCUGCUAACUAAAUAUUUGGGGGCCAGAGCCUUCCUAGGUAGCAGCUGGAGCAUCUCUGUUCUGGAACUGAGACAUCAAGCCAGCAUAGGCAUCAACAGGCAAAAUCAGGAGAAGAAGGAGAAACAUCUAACCCACGAGCACUGCCAGCAGUUCCACUCUUUCUGAGGACGAAUGCCAGGAUUCCAGAACACAGAAGCAAGGACCCUCCCUAAACUGCUUCUCAGGCCAUGGACACACAGUGCUUAACCCUCUUUGAACCCCACCAGGUUCUCUUAUUCUCUCGCACAGGCUGUAAACAUUUAUCUUUGGACCUUCCCAGAAAUGUUUCUUAUGGAAGGGAUUAGCAGUUAGUGCAUUUAACUUCUGAAGAUGAAUGGAUAAGGGUUCCUGCAACUGUCCCAGGUCUCUAGAGUUGGUGGGACUCUUCAGCUUGACUGGCAACUGACCAUCGAUUGAAAGGGACAAUGUCUUCAACAAUUCUAACUGACAAGAGUUUAUCUGAAGGAGACAACUGGACAGAGGUCCUGUAUGAUCUUGAAUAAAGUCCUGACAUCUUUAAACAUGCUUCCACCAUUUUGCUGUUGGUUGGAAACAUGGUUUAGUUGACUGCUGGCCAAUCCAGAAGAAAACUUCAGAGAGAAAAUGUUGGAUCCGUGAGGAAAAGGAGCACAGACCAUCAAUGGCCAUUGGAAAGGUGACAAAUGGAGACCUUUACUCAGAAGCAGGAGAGAAGCAGGUUGUCCAAAGUACUGAAUGCAUCUCCCCGAUCAAAUUCUUGGUUAUAUUCAAAUACUCCACACUAUGUACAAAAAUCCAUUCUGUUGCUUCAAAACAAAUCAUGAACAUCUGGGCCUUGGUUGUAAUUUCAAAUAAAAAGUUAGCAAAUUUAAAUAUCAGCACAGGGACUUUCAACUUCAUGAAUGUUGCAUUCAAAAUGAAGGCCUUUGGCAAUUGGGUUUGGAGAGUUUCAGCCUGCAGGAUGCACAUUCCCAGAGGCAGCUGUGAACAAGUGGGAGCCACUGGGUGACACCCAGGUUCGAGCACACCAUCACAUUCUUGGGGAACACUGCUAACGCACGAUCAAAAAGGCUGAAGACGGUUUGUGUAGGCAGUAUGGGUGGCCCUUUAUAGGAUGUAGGAAAUGGUGUGUGCUUGAAUAUCAAGUGUACAGGAAACCAGGUAAGGGGAAGAUACCUGCAGUGCUGAAGACAAUAAGUGCCAUACUUAUCACUUUACUGGGAUAAAAACUUAAAAUAAUUAAAAAUAAAACUGGAGUGCCAAGAAGCCCACAGCCCACUGCGUUCUUGCGGCACACUGGAGUGACACUACUGCUCUCUUUGCCAAAAGCUUCUUAUUUCCAAGGAAGCCCGUUUUAUAGACACACAUCAGAACAUCUUCUUUUACCUUUUGACAAAAUGAAACUGCAUCCUUGGGAGUUUCCCACCCAUUGCUCUCUUGGCUACUUCACUCCAGUACUAUUUCAUUACUUAUUGAUUUUUCAACGCCUCUCUGCAUGGCUGUAAUUUACAC